rnacentral:sRNA from 1 species
GGGUGCUGGGAACUGAACUUAGGUCCUAUAUCAAAGCCAUUUCUCCAUGUUAUUUUUUGUCUUAAAGAUUUGAUUGCUGGACACUGCAGGACAGUGGACUGUGAGAGGAAGCCUAGUAAGAUCGAGGUGGGCUUGAAGACCCAGGGACCCACGAGGGACAAACAUUAGGAGCUUCGCCUGCUCCUGUCACCAGGCCCUGGUCUCAUAGCCACAGCCUACCAUGGAGAGAAUUGUGGCCAUCAGUCAUGGAGGGUCAGUGCCUCCACAUAGAGACGAGGCAUCCCUAAACAUUUCAGACCAAGCCAAUAGCAAUAAAGAUGUGUGAGAAUUACUCCAUUGUCUGAGAGCAUCUGUCACACAAGAGCUGUAACACUGCCUGGGAAGAGAACGCCCUCCAGAAGCUUUUGCCACUAGGAGCCCCUCUGCACGUCACUGUCUAGCCAGCCUUCUACUGUCUCAUCUCUGCUCAGCUCCCAGAGGCUAUGGACGUGCAGUGGCCCCAGAGCGGCAGUCAGGCUGGGCCUGGUGUGCAGGGCACCCUUGAUGGGAAAGGCCCAUUCGCCGUGUUGGGGGUGACUGGUGCUCCUGGGUUCCAUAAGAAAGCAGGCCAAGCAAGCCAUGAGGAACAAACCAGUUAAGAAGCACCACUCCAUGCCUCAGCACCAGCUCCUGCCUCCUUUGAGUUCCUGUCCUGACUUCCUCCAACAGUGCUGAGGAAGUAAUGGAGAUGUAUGCAUUUCAAUCCUUCAUCCGCCUGUAGAUGACCCACAGAGUGGAGAGCUGCCCUCUGAAAGGUGGAAUCCUCCUCAGAAUGUGAGGACUAUCGUGCUGAGUGUAAUCUCCCUGCUUAAUGAGCCCAACACCUUUUCCCCAGCCAAUGUGGAUGCUUCAGUCAUGUUCAGGAAAUGGAGGGACAGCAAAGGAAAGGACAAGGAGUACGCUGAGAUCAUUAG